rnacentral:rRNA from 1 species
AGAGUUUGAUCAUGGCUCAGAACGUACGCUGGCGGCACGCCUAAUACAUGCAAGUCGAACGAAGUAGCAAUACUUAGUGGCAGACGGGUGAGUAACAUGUGGGUAUCUUCCCUUUGGUGAGGAAUAACACGAGGAAACUUGUGCUAAUACCUCAUAAGUCUUUACAGAGAAAGCUUUAUGCGCCAAUGGAUGAGCCUGCACUUGAUUAGUUUGUUGGUGGGGUAAUGGCCUACCAAGACGGUGAUCAAUAGCUGAUCUGAGAGGAUGAUCAGCCACAUUGGGACUGAGACACGGCCCAAACUCCUACGGGAGGCAGCAGUAGGGAAUAUUGCACAAUGGAGGAAACUCUGAUGCAGCGAUGCCGCGUGAGUGAAGAAGGCCCUUGGGUUGUAAAGCUCUUUCGUCGGGGAAGAAAAUGACUGUACCCGAAUAAGAAGGUCCGGCUAACUUCGUGCCAGCAGCCGCGGUAAUACGAAGGGACCUAGCGUAGUUCGGAAUUACUGGGCUUAAAGAGCACGUAGGUGGUUAAGAAAGUUGGUGGUGAAAUCCCAAGGCUUAACCUUGGAACUGCCACCAAAACUUUUUAACUAGAGUAUGAUUGAGGUAAGCGGAAUUUCUAGUGUAGAGGUGAAAUUCGUAGAUAUUAGAAAGAACACCAAUUGCGAAGGCAGCUUUCUGGAUCAUUACUGACACUGAGGUGCGAAAGCAUGGGUAGCGAAGAGGAUUAGAUACCCUCGUAGUCCAUGCUGUAAACGAUGUGUGCUAGACGUUGGAAAUUUAUUUUUCAGUGUCGCAGCAAAAGCGUUAAGCACACCGCCUGGGGAGUACGACCGCAAGGUUAAAACUCAAAUGAAUUGACGGGGACCCGCACAAGUAGUGGAGCAUGUGGUUUAAUUCGAAGAUACGCGCAGAACCUUACCAACACUUGACAUGUUCGUCGCGACUCUAAGAGAUUAGAGUUUUCGGUUCGGCCGGACGAAACACAGGUGCUGCAUGGCUGUCGUCAGCUCGUGUCGUGAGAUGUUGGGUUAAGUCCCGCAACGAGCGCAACCCUUACUUUUAGUUGCCAUCAUUUAGUUGGGCACUCUGAAAGAACUGCCAGUGAUAAGCUGGAGGAAGGUGGGGAUGACGUCAAGUCCUCAUGGCCCUUACGUGUUGGGCUACACACGUGCUACAAUGGCAAUCACAAUAGGAAGCAAAGAGGCGACUCUAAGCAAAUCCUAAAAAAUUGCCUCAGUUCGGAUUGUACUCUGCAACUCGAGUACAUGAAGCUGGAAUUGCUAGUAAUCGCGGAUCAGCGCGCCGCGGUGAAUACGUUCCCGGGUCUUGUACACACCGCCCGUCACACCAUGGAAGUUGGUUACACCUUAAGGCAAAGCGUAAAACCUUUGACUACGGUACGAUCAGCGACUGGGGUGAAGUCGUAACAAGGUAGCCGUAGGGGAACCUGCGGCUG